rnacentral:lncRNA from 1 species
CGUCAGGCAGGAGAACAGGGUCUGGAGGUGGCCACAUGAAAGGACAGGAGGGAGGCCUCCAGGAGCUAAAUGUGGCCCCCAGCUGAAGCCCAGCCUGCAACCACAAGGAACUGGAUUCUGCCAGCAACCUGAAUGCACUUAGAAGCGGUUUCUCUCUGGAGCCUCCUGAUAGGAGCCCAGCCAGCCAACACCUUGAUUUUGGCCUUGUGAGACCUAGAGCAGAGAAACCUUCUAAGCCAUUCGUGACUUCUGACCUUCAGGACUAUGAUGAUAAAUGUGUGUUAUUUUGAGCUGUUAAUUUGUGAUAAUUUGUUGUAGCAGCAGUUGAAAACUUGAAGCUUAGUCUGCAGAAAGUCUAAGGAUGGAUAAAAAUGAAUGAAGACCCUCAAAGCCGUGCCCCCACCUUAUUAUUCUCCUCUGGGUUCUCCUAACCCUAAUUCUAACCCUAUCUUCUUUUUUUUUUUUUAUACUUUAAGUUCUAGGGUAUGUGAUCACAACUUGCAGGUUUGUUACAUAUGUAUACACGUGCGAUGUUGGUGUGCUGCACCCAUUAACUCGUCAUUUACAUUAGGUAUAUCACCUAAUGCUAUCCCUCCCCUCUCCCCACCAACCCCACAAUAGGCCCCAGUGUGUGAUGUUCCCCUUCCUGUGUCCAAGUGUUCUCAUUGUUCAAUUCCCACCUAUAAGUGAGAACAUGCGGUGUUUGGUUUUUUGUCCUUGUGAUAGUUUGUUGAGAAUGAUGGUUUCCAGUUUCAUCCAUGUCCCUACAAAGGACAUGAACUCAUCCUUUUUUAUGGCUGCAUAGUAUUCCAUGGUGUAUAUGUGCCACAUUUUCUUAAUCCAGUCUAUCAUUGAUGGACAUUUGGGUUGAUUCCAAGUCUUUGCUGUUGUGAAUAGUGCUGCAAUAAACGUAUGUGUGCAUAUGUCUUUAUAGCAGCAUGAUUUAUAAUCCUUUGGGUAUAUACCCAGUAAUGGGAUUGCUGGGUCAAAUGAUAUUUCUAGUUCUAGAUCCUUGAGAAAUAGCCACACUGUCUUCCACAAUGGUUGAACUAGUUUAUAGACCCACCAACAGUGUAAAGGUGUUCCUAUUUCUCCACAUCCUCUCCAGCACCUGUUGUUUCCUGACUUUUUAAUGAUCGCCA